rnacentral:tRNA from 1 species
GCCGAGGUGGUGGAAUUGGCAGACACGCAAGGGACUUAAAAUCCCUCGGGGCUUGCACCAAAGGCUGUGCGGGUUCGAGUCCCGCCUUCGGUA